rnacentral:rRNA from 1 species
UACGUAGGCAGCAAGCGUUGUUCGGAAUUACUGGGCGUAAAGAGUGUGUAGGCGGUGUUCUAAGUUUGUCGUGAAAUCUCCCGGCUUAACUGGGAGGGUGCGGCGAAAACUGGAAUGCUAGAGGAUGGGAGAGGUAAGCGGAAUUCCUGGUGUAGCGGUGAAAUGCGUAGAUAUCAGGAGGAACACCUGUGGUGUAGACAGCUUACUGGACCAUUUCUGACGCUGAGACACGAAAAGCGUGGGUAGCAAACAGG